GGCUCUGUGGCGCAAUGGAUAGCGCAUUGGACUUCUAGCUUUCCUCUGAUAAGGGAUUCAAAGGUUGCGGGUUCGAGUCCCGCCAGAGUCG
rnacentral:tRNA from 1 species